CGUUUAUUUGAUAGUACCUUACUACUUGGAUAACCGUGGUAAUUCUAGAGCUAAUACAUGCUAAAAACCCCGACUUCGGGAGGGGUGUAUUUAUUAGAUAAAAAACCAACGCCUUUCGGGGCUCCUUGGUGAAUCAUAAUAACUUAACGGAUCGCAUGGCCUUGCGCCGGCGACGGUUCAUUCAAAUUUCUGCCCUAUCAACUUUCGAUUGUAGGGUAUUGGCCUACAAUGGUAUCAACGGGUAACGGGGAAUUAGGGUUCGAUUCCGGAGAGGGAGCCUGAGAAACGGCUACCACAUCCAAGGAAGGCAGCAGGCGCGCAAAUUACCCAAUCCCGACACGGGGAGGUAGUGACAAUAAAUACUGAUACAGGGCUCUUUUGGGUCUUGUAAUUGGAAUGAGUACAAUUUAAAUCCCUUAACGAGGAACAAUUGGAGGGCAAGUCUGGUGCCAGCAGCCGCGGUAAUUCCAGCUCCAAUAGCGUAUAUUAAAGUUGUUGCAGUUAAAAAGCUCGUAGUUGAACCUUGGGUCUGGCUGGCCGGUCCGCCUCACCGCGUGCACUGGUCCGGCCGGACCUUUCCUUCUGGAGAACCGCAUGCCCUUCACUGGGUGUGUCGGGGAACCAGGACUUUUACUUUGAAAAAAUUAGAGUGUUCAAAGCAGGCCUUUGCUCGAAUACAUUAGCAUGGAAUAAUAGAAUAGGACGUGCGGUCCUAUUUUGUUGGUUUCUAGGACCGCCGUAAUGAUUAAUAGGGAUAGUCGGGGGCAUCAGUAUUCAAUUGUCAGAGGUGAAAUUCUUAGAUUUAUUGAAGACUAACUACUGCGAAAGCAUUUGCCAAGGAUGUUUUCAUUAAUCAGUGAACGAAAGUUAGGGGAUCGAAGACGAUCAGAUACCGUCGUAGUCUUAACCGUAAACUAUGCCGACUAGGGAUCGGGCGAUGUUAUUCUUUUGACUCGCUCGGCACCUUACGAGAAAUCAAAGUUUU
rnacentral:rRNA from 1 species